AUACGUAGGGGGCGAGCGUUGUCCGGAAUGAUUGGGCGUAAAGGGCGCGUAGGCGGCUUUGCAAGUCAGUAGUGGAAGUCCAUUUUUCAAGGAUGGAAGUGCUACAGAAACUGCGGAGCUUGAGUGCAGGAGAGGUUAUCGGAAUUCCCGGUGUAGCGGUGAAAUGCGUAGAGAUCGGGAGGAACACCAGUGGCGAAGGCGGGUAACUGGACUGCAACUGACGCUGAGGCGCGAAAGUGUGGGGAGCAAACAGGAUGAGAUACCCUGGUAGUCCACGCCGUAAACGAUGGGUACUAGGUGUAGGAGGUAUCGACCCCUUCUGUGCCGUCGUUAACACAAUAAGUACCCCGCCUGGGGAGUACGGUCGCAAGACUAAAACUCAAAUGAAUUGACGGGG
rnacentral:rRNA from 1 species